rnacentral:rRNA from 1 species
GUGUCAGCAGCCGCGGUAAGACGUGGGGUGCAAGCGUUGUCCGGAAUUACUGGGCGUAAAGGGCGUGUAGGUGGUUUGGUAAGUCACCUUUGAAAGCUCUCGGCUCAACCGAGACUGCGGAGGUGAAACUAUCAGACUGGACGGCAAGAGGGGCAGACAGAAUUCCCGGUGAAGGGGUAAAAUCCGUUGAUAUCGGGAGGAAUACCAGUGGCGAAGGCGGUCUGCUAGCUUGCUCGUGACACUGAGGCGCGACAGUCUGGGGAGCGAAAGGGAUUAGAAACCCCGGUAGUCC